GUGUACUCGGAGGACAUUACACAAAUAUGAAGGCGGGCUGGAACCUCUCGGGGUUACAGCCUUGCUGAAUUAUUCACCCUUGUCUUUUGCGUACUUCUUGUUUCCUUGGUGGGUUCGCCCACCACUAGGACAAACAUAAACCUUUUGUAAUUGCAAUCAGCGUCAGUAACAAAUUAAUAAUUACAACUUUCAACAACGGAUCUCUUGGUUCUGGCAUCGAUGAAGAACGCAGCGAAAUGCGAUAAGUAGUGUGAAUUGCAGAAUUCAGUGAAUCAUCGAAUCUUUGAACGCACAUUGCGCCCUUUGGUAUUCCAAAGGGCAUGCCUGUUCGAGCGUCAUUUGUACCCUCAAGCUUUGCUUGGUGUUGGGCGUCUUGUCUCUAGCUUUGCUGGAGACUCGCCUUAAAGUAAUUGGCAGCCGGCCUACUGGUUUCGGAGCGCAGCACAAGUCGCACUCUCUAUCAGCAAAGGUCUAGCAUCCAUUAAGCCUUUUUUUCAACUUUUGACCUCGGAUCAGGUAGGGAUACCCGCUGAACUUAAGCAUAUCAAAAGCGGGGAAAAA
rnacentral:rRNA from 1 species